rnacentral:rRNA from 1 species
AUUGAACGCUGGCGGCAGGCCUAACACAUGCCAGUCGAACGGUAACAGAAAGCAGCUUGCUGCUUUGCUGACGAGUGGCGGACGGGUGAGUAAUGUCUGGGAAACUGCCUGAUGGAGGGGGAUAACUACUGGAAACGGUAGCUAAUACCGCAUAACGUCGCAAGACCAAAGAGGGGGACCUUCGGGCCUCUUGCCAUCGGAUGUGCCCAGCUGGGAUUAGCUAGUAGGUGGGGUAACGGCUCACCUAGGCGACGAUCCCUAGCUGGUCUGAGAGGAUGACCAGCCACACUGGAACUGAGACACGGUCCAGACUCCUACGGGAGGCAGCAGUGGGGAAUAUUGCACUAUUGUCGCAAGCCUGAUGCAGCCAUGCCGCGUGUAUGAAGAAGGCCUUCGGGUUGUAAAGUACUUUCAGCGGGGAGGAAGGGAGUAAAGUUAAUACCUUUGCUCAUUGACGUUACCCGCAGAAGAAGCACCGGCUAACUCCGUG